UCACCCCCAGCUAAGUUAUAGAAAUGAUGGAAAACAGCCAUGAUGUCGUGCUUAAUGAGACUCCAGCAUGAUCUGUAGAAGGCGCCCGAGAAUCCGUCAGGUCCAGGUGCCUUCUCAGAGGGGGGUGCCUUAAUCGCCUCCCAAACUUCAGUUUCCGUGAACGGGUUGUCGAGCCCAACAUUCUCAACCGAUGGCAGCGGAAUGGAGUCCCAGUUGAUCGAGCAGGAGCGUGGGCGCCUUGCGGCUGCUUUCUUCCGUCUUAUCCACAGCAUCGAUUGGCAUCUCUGGAUCUGUGCCCUGUUUUAUACGAGAGUUGCAGGUCGUCCAGAAAUCGGGCACUGUACCGAAAUACGUAUGCGGCAGCGCGUCGUGGUGGGCCAACGAGGCGGGGCACAGUGACCAGAAGUAACGCGCGGUUGAACGGCAGUUUGCCGCCGACGAGGUGUUCCAAGGAUCAGAAUCCGGGCUGCCGUCUGAUCCGUGGAUCUGAAAGUUAGGUUUACGGUCUGGCAGCUGCAGACUCGAAUUGAAUGCAGGGUCCAGCGUCUUCUCUUGCAAAAGCGAGUGGCCUCGUGAAGGUGAAGACUGCGAGGCAGAGGUCAGGAGCGGCGGCGGGGAUCCAGCAUGGAGUUUUUGAUGCAACCUGUCGGCAGGUUCGUGUGUGCUUCGACGGCGAUGUUGUCUGCAUUUUUAGGGCGUUUUGAUUAGCUGAUUGAGUACGUUUGUUCUCCCCCCCCCCAUGUUUUACAUCUGCUCUGCUUGAGGAGGUGGGGGAGUUUUGUGCCUGGGCCUCUGGUUGGGAAUGGCGGUGUGCUGUCGGAGCCGGCCGUGCCGCAGCAGCAUGGGCGGCGGCGAGCGGAGAAGCACAGAUCUGAUCGGCGAAGGAGGACGCAGCGGCCAGGAGGGGGAGCUCUCCUACAACAUCUAAGCUGACGACGGGGAAGAUGAAUCCCCAGGCUCCCGGAUGGAAUAAGAGGAUCUCAAGCAAUUAUGAAGGGUCGCCGCAGGCAUCGGAGCAAUCGAUUGAGCAGAUUGACCCUAAAAUACCCGAAUGGACAUGAAGGUACGACAGUUUUAUGCAUUGGAAUCCAUGCUCCUGGUGAUGUGCGUAUGGUGCGAAUUGAAAUGAAUGGUAGGAAAAUUUAGCUCUGAAUUAGUUAGCAACAGAGUUGUUAACGGAUGCAGUAUGUGAAUCGGAGGUUAGUUGCCCACAAACCUAGUUAGCAACGGUGUUGUGUGGAAUGAAUUGUGGAGUAGGUUGUUCUGAAUUUAAGUGAAUGUAAAAUCAGCAAACUCUGAAUUAUGGAGUAAGUGCUUCCUAUCUGUAGGGGAACUGCAUUUGGAAGGGGGUCAUUACUGAUGCGAUGAGAACAUCGUAUGAUAGCUCUUAUCCUGGAUAGAGCCAACAUCAUAUAAAUAUGCUGCCUUUAGCAGUGCACUGCAUUUUGAGGUCAGAAUGGUUGCUAGUCCAUAGGGUGAUUUCGGGUCAGAUGUUCUGUAAGUGUGAGAACCAUAGUGAAAUAAACAACAAAGUUGUAGGAUGUGUGACAAUGAAAAAAUGGCUAAUUUGGUGGAUGAUUUGCAGUGUGCAUGUGUGGUGUCGUUAAAUGACAGAAUUUGUACGACACCAUCACUAACUAAUUGUGUGCGAGAUAAAAGGUGAUAGCGUUAAAAGAUAUGAACUAAUGUCUCUUCGAACAUGGACAGUGAGUAAUUACAGUAGAUAUGAGCUGCAGGAUUGUGUCAUAGGUUGCAAAAUAUGGAGUAACCCUUUUUUUUUUUAAAUGAUGCUUGGUAUGCGUUGGUGCUAUUCUGGGUGAUUGGAAAACACAUGAAAAACUGAUGCUACCGGAACAUAAAUACUAAAAGUAAGUGUCGUGGUUUUAGUUCAAAUUUGAACUAAGACCACGACACUUAUUUUGGAGUAAGGAUUGUUGCGGCGUCGCCUUGCAGGACCUCGUGUCCUGGUCGUGCUUCUGCCCUUGAGAAGGCAAUUCAUGAAUUUGCACAGAAUCCAGGAGAUAUUGUAAUUGUGCCAACAUUGGGGACAAGCUUCAAUGCUUUAGGGGAGGCAUAUGAUUUUUACAACCUCUAAUCAUGGGAGAAAGGAUUCGGAAUUAGAUAUGGGAAAAGCAGACCAAAUGUGGACAAAAUGCAUGCAGGAAAUCAUGUGGAUUUGCGGUCAGUUCCUCAGAUUUUCGUUUUGUUCAAUUCAGUUGCAAGUGCAAUAUUUUCUAGUGUGUGAUUCGUGUCGUAGGGUAAGGCAGGAGUUGAGAACAACAUAUUGUGCCGGUGUGAGUGCCCUGCUCUUUAUGAGGCUGCUGCACUCAAAGGAUAAUGGUUGGUAUAUAGCUGAGCAUCGUGAAGAGCACAACCACUCAUUGUCACCAAACUGCAGGGAGACAAUACACUGGGCAUCAUACAAGCACAUAGAUGUGUACAUCCGGGACCUGAUAAAGCUGUUGCGCCAGAACAAUGUGAAUCUGUUGGAAGUGUACAGCAUCAUAGGUAGUUUUUUUAAUCAAUGGAUAAUAUCCCAUUCACAAAGCGAGCUUUGAGGAAUUUGUGUGGUAAAAUCAGCGGUGAGCAAGCAGAAGAUGAUGUUAGGAAGGCAAUGGAAGUUUUUGCAUAACUUGGGGCGAAGGAUCCACACUUCACAUAUCAUGUUCAAGCUGACAAGGAUGGGAGGAUCAAUACCUUGAUGUGGGCCAAAUGGUAACAGCCGUAGUGGUCUGGCUCUGCUUCUCUAGCUACUCAAUUUUGGAAUCUCUAUUCUCUAGCUAACGAGCAUAAUGUUACUAUUGACAAAGUGUGGGAUGGUGUCCAUCUCAAGAUCACCUUUAGAAGGUGCUUUACUCAAGAUUUGUUUAAUGAAUUGCUUGAGCUUUUUAACAUUGUUAAAUCUUUGCAA